UCCUCUGUCUGGGCCCCGCCCACUCUGGCCACGUGACUCACUUCAACCAAUACAGCAGCGCACAAGGGAUGCUGCGCCAAUUCUGGGGCUAAGCCUUCCUUAAAGGUGUUUUUGCACUUUGGGGAACCCUGAGCUGCCAUGUUAAAAGUCCAGCUACCUGGAGAGAUGCCAUGAAGAGGUCACGUUGAGCGGGAGAAGCCCUGAGGCUACACAGGGAGAGAAGGAGAGACAGACGGACAGAGAGAGAAGAGAGGCAGGGAGCCCCCGCGGAGCCCUCUCCAUCACUCCAGUUGUCCCAGCCUUGGGACAGGGGUUGCUGACCCAGAGCCUCCGUUCUGAAUGACCUGAAGCUCACGAUACACAAAUUCCCACUCGACGAGCGUCUUUUCUGCAGAGAGAGGGUACUGAAGGUCAGCGGCUGCAGUAGCACGUGACUCAUCCUUAUAGAGGGAGAUGUGUGCUCAGCCGCUCAGUCAUGUCCGACUCUGGACCCCACAGACUGCAGCCCGCCAGGCUCCUCUGUCUCCAGGAUUUUUCAGGAGAAACAACAGCCCCACGCUUGUCUGCAAAGUGCGGGCAGCCCUCCCCAUGGCUCCUCUGCUCGUCCUGCCCUGGCCGUGGCCAUGCCUGCCUGCCCUUGAGGAAGGAGGACCAAGGCACUAAGGUGUUCUCAGUGGGGCUGAGUGCCUCUGUCAGCUCAGGGCAACACAAGACCCUCAAACUCGGGGGCUCAAAUCAGCUGCUCCUUUGUCCUACGGCUCAGCUGGGUGGUUCUCCAGUCUUGGGGUCUUCUCACUCGUUGGUGGGAAGCCCCGGGAGUACGCAGCUUUGCUGGCUCUGUCUGUCUCUCCCCCAACUCUUGGGCCUAGACUGGACUGACUGGGCUGACUCCCUGACUCUCCACGUGCUUAGCCCAGGCAGGCUGGCCUGGACUUCGUCCUGGGAGUGGCAGGGUGCCACCACCCCCUCCCUGUCUGGUUCUUUGCAAAGCAGCUAUGAAGAAUUUUAGAGGCAGGUACCACAGGGGCCUGUGAGUCAAUUCUUAGAAUAGGACGUGAUCAUCUCUUCUGGGAAGAAGGGUUUGCAGCCACUGCUGAUUCCUGACUGAGUCAUGGGUGCCUUUAUCAGGAGGCGGGAGAGCACGGCUUAGGUGCCUGUGAGCUGGGUGUGUGCGUCUGCUUCUUAACCUUCACCAUUCACAGCCCUGUGCUCACUGCACCCUCUGGAUGAGCCAGUGGGCUGGGAAGGAAGCUUGGAGCCAACGUGACUAACAAUUUCUAAAUUCUCUAGGUGGCAAUUAUAGGGAAUAAAGAGAAAGGCAUAAUUUCAAAAC
ensembl:lncRNA